GACAGAGGGUGCAAACGUUGUUCGGAAUUACUGGGCGUAAAGCGUGUGUAGGCGGCCAGGUAAGUCGGGUGUGAAAGCCCCGGGCUCAACCCGGGAAGUGCACUCGAAACUGCUUGGCUUGAGUACUGGAGAGGUUGGUGGAAUUCUCGGUGUAGAGGUGAAAUUCGUAGAUAUCGAGAGGAACACCGGUGGCGAAGGCGGCCAACUGGACAGAUACUGACGCUGAGACACGAAAGCGUGGGGAG
rnacentral:rRNA from 1 species